CAGCAGGGUCUGUGAACUUCCAUGGAAAAAAUCCCAAACAUAUUUUUAUUUCAAAAUAUUUUAUAAUCCUGUGAUUUUAUUUUAUGCAUUUAAGAAUAUAAUUCUGAGACAAAGUCCAUUGAUUCCUCCAUAUUGCCAAAGGGGUCUCUGACAACCAAAAAGAUUUAAGAAUUUCUGAUCUAGAUGAAUUCAGGAAUAAACUGUAGUAUAAAGCUUUAAACAUUAGGAAAAGACCCUUCCGUGAGUAUUAGAAAUGAAUUUAUGUACCUAUAUUCUCUGCUGAAGUCUUCCCAUAUUCCUUAGGAUCAGAGAUUUAGAGCUAGAAGGGGCUUUAGAAACUAUGUAGUCUAAUAUUCUCUUUUUACAGAUUAAUUAACUGCAGCUAGAAAGAUCUGGUGUGUGAGCCAAGGCCCCAUGGCUAACAAGUCCCUAGCAGAGUCAGCACUGAAAUAAGGUCCAGACUCUAAAUCCAGCCCUUCACCAUUGCACCCCACUGCCUGGUAGUAAGGUCAUCUGGGUUCUAGACUUCUGUGCCAUCACAAACAAGCUGGUAACAGACUACAUGCUUGUUGUUAGAGGACUGGCUUAGAUACAUUCCCAGAGUCUCAGUACCAGGUUGCCUGCAGGAUGAUGAAGUUUUCAACCAGAACAACUCUCAAGACCAUCUUCAAAAUUGGGGGUGGGAUGCAACCUGCAACAGUGGAAAAUGGGCCCACUCCGAUGAAAUCAGGGAACUGUAACUGCUGGGAGUCUGUAUAGAACUUCAGAAAGAAAGAGAAAAUGAAACUCUCUCCAGAUCACUUUGCUGGGACCUGGAGUGAAUGAAAACUCUAUCCAACAUUCUCUGUCCUCAAAAACACUUCCUCUUGGCUUCCAAAUAGGGCAUGUCAGAUGUGGAGGUAGCUUGUAGAGGAGUAUAUAUGAUAUUUACAUACAGACUCCCAUAACCUGAGGUACCAUAUUCUUUCCCUCUGAGCAAGAGAAGUGCUUUUUAAUAAGGCAGUGGGCUGACAGCCAGCAAAUCGCUUUGCUCCAAACUGGCAAAUGCCCCCAGCUUGCUGAUCCUCCCUAACCAACAAUGCUAUCUCUGCUCCCAAAUGAUGCUUUGAUUUCUCCCCCAAGCAAAUGCAGUCUCCCACCCCCUCUUCUCCCCAAAGCAAAAAACCAGAGCACAGGCCUCCUGGCUGGGCUGGCAUAGCAUGAGAUCAGCUCUUUGGCUCUCCUUUCAGGCAUCAUCAGAUCACAAUGCAAUUGGCUCGGGACAAAUGGGAUUCCUCGCCUGUAGGUCAUUUGAGGACAGGCUUCUCUCAAGGCUGCCACUAGUGAACUGUCUCCAAUAAAGCCACCAGACCCUAGUCCUUACAGCCGCCAAACAAGGCAGAGACUGGCUCCUGCAUGGUUGAGAGCUGUCUAAGGAGAAACAGAUGCUGAAAGACCACUGCUCUAACACUCCAUGGAAUUAUGAGCUGUUCUGAGCAUAUGGUGUUGCGUCAGUCCCUCCCCACCAAUGUUCCAGUUCUACUCCCAGGAAUCUUGAGAGCCAAGCUUUUAAUUCUGCAACCUCCAUACCCUGACUGCAUCCAUCUCACAAUAGAGACAAUGA